rnacentral:rRNA from 1 species
UACAGAGGUCCCAAGCGUUGUUCGGAUUCACUGGGCGUAAAGGGUGCGUAGGUGGCCGGGUAAGUCUGAUGUGAAAUCUCCGAGCUCAACUCGGAAACUGCAUCGGAUACUCUCCGGCUAGAGGAAUGGAGGGGAGACUGGAAUGCUUGGUGUAGCAGUGAAAUGCGUAGAUAUCAAGCGGAACACCAGUGGCGAAGGCGAGUCUCUGGACAUUUCCUGACGCUGAGGCACGAAAGCUAGGGGAGCAAACAGG